GACGGAGGGGGCAAGCGUUGUCCGGACUCACUGGGCGUAAAGGGCGCGUAGGCGGCCUGGUCAGUCGGAUGUGAAAGCCCGGGGCUCAACCCCGGAACGGCAUCCGAGACAGCCAGGCUGGAGACCGGGAGAGGAGAGUGGAAUAGCCAGUGUAGAGGUGAAAUUCGUAGAUAUUGGCUGGAACACCGGUGGCGAAAGCGGCUCUCUGGCCCGGUUCUGACGCUGAGGCGCGAAAGCGUGGGGAGCAAACGGG
rnacentral:rRNA from 1 species